GUGCUCAUUUCAGCAGCACAUAUACUAAAAUAGGAACGAUACAGAGAAGAUUAGCAUGGCCCCUGUUCAAGGAUGCAAUGUCCUCUCAAUCAUCAUUAUUUAU
ensembl:snRNA U6 U6 spliceosomal RNA